rnacentral:rRNA from 1 species
UUAACUCCGGAACUGCCUUUGAUACUGCAAGCCUAGAGAUCGGGAGAGGUUGAUGGAAUAUCUGGUGUAGCAGUGAAAUGCGUAGAUAUCUGAUAGAACACCAAUGGCGAAGGCAGUCGACUGGCCCGAUUCUGACGCUAAAGCACGAAAGUGUGGGUAGCAAACAGGAUUAGAUACCCUGGUAGUCCACACCCUAAACGAUGACUACUAGACGUUGAUCCUUUAAACGCCCAGUGUCUGAGCUAACGCAUUAAGUAGUCCACCUGGGAAGUACGAUCGCAAGAUUGAAACUCAAAGGAAUUGACGGGGGCCCGCACAAGCCGGUGGAGCAUGUGGUUUAAUUCGAUGCUACGCGAAGAACCUUACUUAGGCUUGACAUGCAAGGUACUAUUGAGGGAAGUCUAGGGUGCUGGCAAGGCGAACUUGUACAGCGAGGUUGUAUGUGUCUCUUCUGAUCGUUGCCUUGAUGAUAUUGGGGUAAUGAUCUCGCGACGAGCGCGACACCUUUCUCUAUUUGUCCACCUGAUUAUGUUGAGCACUCUAAGGAGACUGCCUAUGACAGUACUGAGGAAGGUGGGGAUGACGUCAAGUCCUCAUGGCCCUUAUGCUUAGGGCUUCACACGUGAUACAAUGGUCAGUACAGAGGGUUGCAAUACCGCGAGGUGGAGCCAAUUCCCUGAAACGUGAUCUCAGUUCGGAUUGGAGUCUGCAACUCGACUCCAUGAAGUUGGAAU